rnacentral:rRNA from 1 species
ACAUCGAAAGCUUGCUUUUGAUGGGCGUCGACCGGCGCACGGGUGAGUAACGCGUAUCCAACCUGCCCACCACUUGGGGAUAACCUUGCGAAAGUAAGACUAAUACCCAAUGACGUCUCUAGAAGACAUCUGAAAGAGAUUAAAGAUUUAUCGGUGAUGGAUGGGCCCGCGUCUGAUUAGCUAGUUGGUGAGAUAACGGCCCACCAAGGCGACGAUCGGUAGCCGGACUGAGAGGUUGAACGGCCACAUUGGGACUGAGACACGGCCCAGACUCC